UGCCAAACCCUCUGGCCCUAACCUAUCAUGUAUGAAAGGUGAAAUAGGAGCAUACUCUGAUUUCACAGUUUUAACCAUCAUCCUGUGACCCCAAAAGUCCAUCACAGGUCCUCGUGUAGGACGCCCAACAUCUGGACGCACACAGCAUGACUACUAGUGCUGAGCAGCCACCCACAGAGGGCAUAUGCACAAAGACAUUAAAUGUAAAAGAAAUGGCCUGUGCUGAGCAACAGAGAAAGCUGUAUCAGAGAUAAAACCAAACAGGUGAAUUACCUCACAGGAUUGCUGGUCAAAGACACUCGGAGAGACUCCAGGCAUGUGACAAGUCUCUCAUCUGCAGACCCCAUUUUCAGCUCAUGAAUGAAUUCCUGAGGUUCACCAUCCAACGGCAGGAAAUGAAUUGUGUAAGUUCAAAAGAAGAUCAGGUGAAGUGGUACGAAAUUCGGUGUUUUUCAUGUUUUUUGUUUUUAUUAAUUUACUAUAAUGUUAUUCAAAACAACAUUCCCAAUAAAGCAAAACAAAUUAGCACUGUAAAG
rnacentral:lncRNA from 1 species